GGGGCCAUAGCUCAGCUGGGAGAGCGCUUGACUGGCAGUCAAGAGGUCGGGAGUUCGAUCCUCCCUGGCUCCACCA
rnacentral:tRNA from 1 species